rnacentral:lncRNA from 1 species
AUAUUGAGAAUUCCAUGGCCUGAUACCAUUCUAGAAGGUGAGAAACAAUGCAGUCAGUCUAGCAAGCCCCACCUUCUGGUCACAUCUCAGGCCCUCUCACUGUGGUGAAAGGGUCCGUUCAGGCAAAGUAGCAGGAGAUGAAGUCGGCAAAAGGAAGGAUAAUACUGAACAACAAAGGAAGCAGAGGGAAACUGGAAGAGACCCACCUCACUAGCUUCAACUUCACACUGGAUAACUCCAGGAGACAAGGGUGACGGGUUGAGGAUGGAAAAAAAGAACCAGAGUUUGAAUACAUUUCAACAUUGAUGCAGAAAAUACUUCUGAGCAUCUAAUGUGGGAAGAGGUCUGUGAAGGAGAUGCAGAUUUGGAAGUGGUCAUCAUAGAAAUAGUGUUUGAAGUCACAGGAGAAGACAAUAUUGCAAGAAAGACAAUUGUGAAUGCAAAGAGAAAGUGGGCCUAAGUCAAAGCCGGGUAGGGCUCCAAAAUUAAAGAUUGACUACAAGCAAAAAGAACCUUCUUCCAUUGGCAGAAAACAUGUCAUAAAGUAUGGAAAUGACAGGUGCUGUCUGCAGAACUAUUUUGAACUCACACCUGGAUUACGGGACUCAUUUCUAAGGUCAUCGUUAUUAGAAGUAUGUAGAAAAACUGG